rnacentral:rRNA from 1 species
UACGAAGGGGGCUAGCGUUGCUCGGAAUCACUGGGCGUAAAGGGUGCGUAGGCGGGUCUUUAAGUCAGGGGUGAAAUCCCUCGGCUUAACCGGGGAACUGCGUCUGAUACUGGAUGGCUUGAGAUUGGGAGAGGGAUGCGGAAUUCCAGGUGUAGCGGUGAAAUGCGUAGAUAUCUGGAGGAACACCGGUGGCGAAGGCGGCAUCCUGGACCAACACUGACGCUGAGGAGCGAAAGCCAGGGGAGCAAACGGG